AGUGAACGCUGGCGGUAGGCCUAACACAGGCAAGUCGAACGGCAGCACAGUAAGAGCUUGCUCUUACGGGUGGCGAGUGGCGGACGGGUGAGGAAUACAUCGGAAUCUACUUUUUCGUGGGGGAUAACGUAGGGAAACUUACGCUAAUACCGCAUACGACCUACGGGUGAAAGCAGGGGAUCUUCGGACCUUGCGCGAUUGAAUGAGCCGAUGUCGGAUUAGCUAGUUGGCGGGGUAAAGGCCCACCAAGGCGACGAUCCGUAGCUGGUCUGAGAGGAUGAUCAGCCACACUGGAACUGAGACACGGUCCAGACUCCUACGGGAGGCAGCAGUGGGGAAUAUUGGACAAAGGGCGCAAGCCUGAUCCAGCCAUACCGCGUGGGUGAAGAAGGCCUUCGGGUUGUAAAGCCCUUUUGUUGGGAAAGAAAAGCAGCAGGUUAAUACCCCGCUGUUCUGACGGUACCCAAAGAAUAAGCACCGGCUAACUUCGUG
rnacentral:rRNA from 1 species